AGAGUUUGAUCCUGGCUCAGAAUCAACGCUGGCGGCGCUGCCUAACACAUGCAAGUCGAACGCGACUGGGGGCUUCGGCUCUCAGUUGAGUGGCGAACGGGUGAGUAACACGUGGGUGACCUACCUUCGAAUGGGGGAUAACGUCCCGAAAGGGACGCUAAUACCGCAUAACAUCCUGCCUUUGAACAGGCGGAGAUCAAAGCUGGGGAUCGCAAGACCUGGCGUUUGGAGAGGGGCCCGCGUCCGAUUAGCUAGUUGGUGGGGUAAUGGCCUACCAAGGCUUAGACGGGUAGCUGGUCUGAGAGGAUGAUCAGCCACACUGGGACUGAGACACGGCCCAGACUCCUACGGGAGGCAGCAGUGGGGAAUAUUGGACAAUGGGCGCAAGCCUGACCCAGCCACGCCGCGUGAGUGAUGAAGGCUUUCGGGUCGUAAAGCUCUGUGGGGAGGGAAGAAAAAACGCUGGCCAAUAUCCAGCGGACUGACGGUACCUCCUUAGCAAGCACCGGCUAACUCCGUGCCAGCAGCCGCGGUAAUACGGAGGGUGCAAACGUUGCUCGGAAUCAUUGGGCGUAAAGCGCACGUAGGCGGUCCAGCAAGUCGGGUGUGAAAGCCCUCGGCUUAACCGAGGAAGUGCAUUCGAAACUACUGGACUUGAAUACUGGAGAGGAUCGCGG
rnacentral:rRNA from 1 species